rnacentral:rRNA from 1 species
ACGUAGGGUGCGAGCGUUAAUUGGAAUCACUGGGCGUAAAGCGUGCGCAGGCGGUUUCACAAGCUAGAUGUGAAAGCCCCGGGCUUAACCUGGGAAUUGCAUUUAGGACUGUGGAGCUCGAGUGCGGCAGAGGGAGGUGGAAUUCCACGUGUAGCAGUGAAAUGCGUAGAGAUGUGGAGGAACACCGAUGGCGAAGGCAGCCUCCUGGGCCGACACUGACGCUCAUGCACGAAAGCGUGGGGAGCAAACAG